UAAAGGAAUUUAUUUUGAGAUUUCAUCAGAACUUCUUUCUGGGUUUCCCAAAGAAUUUCCUUUCGGGAUUCCUCCAGGAGUUCCUUCUUGGUUUUCUUCAGGAAUUCACUCAGAUAUUCGCGUUCCGAGAUCUUUGCAGGCAUUCUUUCCGGCAUUCGUUCCCCUCCAGAAGUUGCUUCUGAAGUUCCUCCAGGAUUUCUUUUUCGGAUCCUUCAGGAAUAUCUUCCUGGAUUCUUCUGAGAUUCCUCGAGAACUUCCUUCUGAAAUUAAUCGAGAAUUUUUUUUCCUGGGACUCCUCCAUUCAUUCUUUUCAGGACUUCAAGACGAAAUUGUUGACUUCCAUUAGAGUCUCCCGGACAUCCAGCAGCUUUUGAUGGUAUAAGUUAUACGGGAAUCACGCGAAAAUGAAGACGAAUUCCGGCACCCCGAUGGAGAUAAGGCAAACUCUCACAAAAGUCGCGAAUUAUCAGAAGUUCAAUUUGUAAGCCCUUUCUGAGGCAACAAUUGCGGAAGGCAUAGCACUACCAGCCCUUUUUCAUUUUGGCCGGCCAUAAUCGUGGAGCGAGAAAACGCAUGGAUGUUUAGAAAACACAGCCGCUCUCGCGCACAGCCUGCUACGAUCACAAUCCCACAUGAUCACAUACCUAAUAGGGGUAGUCGGGGUAAUUUGGCCAAUGGGGCAAUCUGAGCACUUCAUAAAAAUCACCUAAAAUUUAAUAUUUUUAACAAACCGACCUUACAGCUCUACUACUGGUCUGAUAUGGAUGCCAUUGAAACGUUAGAACGAAUAAGUUUAAGCCCACAGUAAAUUAGAAAAAUAAAAUUGAAAAAAUGUUGGCCAAAUUACCCCGAAGAGGGCUGAAUAAAACCACCACAUAAGACCCCUGUUGUUCAAAUACAUUAGAUAUCGUCGUUGGGGGUGAGAAUGGGUCAAAAACGGAUACUCAAUGAAAGUUUGUUAAACAACAAUUACAAUCGAAGCCUGAAUAACUUUUUAUUCGACAUGUAUACUCUUCUAUGUGGUAAUGACAGUUUAGCAAAAAAGCAACACAUUAUAUGAAUUGCUUACUAAACUACAAAUGAUUGAAAAUUGACCCAAUCUCACCCCUUAGAGGGGGUGAGAAUGGGUCAAAGUAUUCGAAAUCGCCUAUCUAAGAAUAUAAGUUAAUUUUAUUGAUCAUAUCUAGCAAACUUUCGUAAAAUACAAUGUUACCAUGACGAAUAAAAACUCAGGUAAUUUUAAAAAAUGAUUAAUCCAUUUAAAAGGGCUAAUACGACCGAAAAAAUGGUUGAAAUUUGAUAAAAUUACGUUUGUAUGUUGUAUCGCCAUUUUUAGCCACCAUCCUCAUUUAAUGUUUCAACCUCCAUGAGAGGAGGGGGACGAUUACAACGAGGGAGGAGCGCAUUGAAAGAUUGAUUGAAAAAAAAAUGAUAUUUUUAGUAUACUGCAUAAGACAUGUUUAACCAAACCCGCUAUAAACUCUUAUGAUCAUUUGCCUCUAUACUGCCAAAGCAAAUCACUCCAUCUCAGGAUAGAGGGUCGACUAUAUAUUAUAAUGUUACACACCAUUUCACAUUAUUAGAACCCCUCGCGCAACAACAUUAAAAAGGAUUUUUUAAUAAAUUUUGUAUGAGUUCUAGUAGACUUAUUCUUCUGUCCAAACGCAUGGGUUUAUUGUUAUAAAUGAUUUUAGGGACUAAACGUAUGAACACUCCCGCUUGCCACUUCUGCGACACAUUUUCAAAGAAAACUAUGCUUUUAUGAAGAUACGGUAAACAUGGCACCACUCUGACGUCAAAUGGGGACUGGAUAACAAUUUGAAUUUUCAGUUAAGGUUAUGUGCACUCGAUAAUUUGCUUGACCCAAUCUCAUCCCCAUUCUUAUUAUUUAGACAUUGGGUCAAAAAUAUUGAAUUUUUAAAUAAAAAGAGCAAUGACAGCCCGCGUUUUUCAUUGCAUCAACCAGGUAAUACCUACAGCUAAUCACUUCUAAGAAAAUUUAUGGUUAGAUACUUGUGUGAAACAUUACGAUGGAGAAAUUUUUUCAGAGUGAUUCACUAGUAGUUUCAUCAUAUAAGUUUAGCCAAAAAUUUAACAAAAAACCAUUAUUGCUAAACAUCUUAUUCUGCAUCAUGACGUGUAAAAACAUCUCCUUUUUGAAAUAAUAUUAAGUUUUCAACAUAAAUUAGCGAUAGUUGAUGAGCUAUUUCAAAUUUUAUGUUUCUCCGUUUUGACCCAAUCUCACCCCCCAGACCCAUUGUCACCCCCAUCGACGGUAGCUUUAAAAUUAGUUCAUUCCCAAGUAACACAGAAAACAUCUUUGAAAAUAAAAUUUGAAAAAGAUGUUGUAAUGCAGUACUAUAAUCGUACUUAUACACAUCUUGUGUUGAAAUCAUGUUUUAUCUAUGUUUGGCAAUUACAAUCCACUGCAAAUUGUUAUCAACCUCAGAACAAGUUAGAGUAACGUAAAUUUAACGUUGAUUACACAAAAAUAUUGUAUCCUCAUCAUCUUUCAAUUGAAGAUGUUAUGUAGAAAAUCAGCAGCACAUAGUUAUAACAAUUGAACUCGCAUAUGUUACAAAUACGUUAUUUUUACGUAUCAAACACGUUAAUGUACAAGUUUAUCAGUUCGCUGUUCUGCCAGUUCGCACUUGAAAAUUAUUUAUGAAAAAUCUUUUGCCUUAAAAUAUUAGGUGAUUCAAUUACGAUAGCAACUAUGACAGCAUCCAAUACUUUUAUUUUUAAAGUUUUCGCUCUUGAUGUUGCCGCUAUGAACUAGCUAAACACAUUGUUAUAUGAAUAUUAUCUAAAAAAAAGUUGGUGGCUGUACAAGUCACUGUAGGACUGAGUGGCUGGGAAGAAGCAAGCCACCCUUCAAAUGACAGCCCUUAUUUGCCCGGAAUCCUCUUAAAUCCACGGUGAAUGGUGCCUUGACGGUACAAGACACUGAAGACGACCUUACAGUUAAGGUCGAAAUACGUAUCUGUCAAAGGAUGCAAAUUCUUAGUGGAAUUCAAAGGAACAGUGCUUAACACGAUUUUCUUUUUACUUACACGAAAUGAAUUAAUAUUUUACCACCUCAUUCACCGACCUACACACACGAACGGUUCAGAAUAAGAUAAUUUAUUUGGUACAUAAACCAAGUUUUCCAGACAUUCUUACUGAAUUUCCGAUGAUUUUCUUCGUUUGCUCAAUUCCGUAAAUCUUAAGCUGACCAAAGUAGUUUCACAGCUAAACGCACGACAGACGAGUACUAGCUCCAGAUCUGCCAGAGAAAAGUUUAACACUACGGGAUGCGACGAAGAGAAAAGUAACGAAACGACGACCGAUUCCGACGGAAACAUUGUUACGCGCUAGGGGCGGGACAGCUCCUAAUAUCGGCGUUAAUACUGCCUAAUAAAUAUUAGUUUCCUAAUCUUCACCGUCCACCGUAGCAUUUUAUUUGUAGUAUGUCAUGAAUUUUCAUACAUCAAGUAACUGUCACAAAGACGAGAGGUGGAAAUAAGCUUCAACUUUCAUAAUCGCGGAUGUGGCUGUCGGAUACUAAUGGCGCUGUGCUUUGAGGAAUCGAUACAGAAGACUUUAUAGGAUGUGAUAAACAAGCUUCUGUACAUGUUCUUAUCACAAUGUUCCUGGAAAAACAUUUAUUUCUGGUGUAUGCUAACUUCAAAGUUCAGUGAAAUAAAAUGAAUUUGAAAACUCAA